AGGCCAGUAGCUCCAAUUGGUAGAGCGUCGGUCUCCAAAACCGAAUGUUCCAGGUUCGAAUCCUGGCUGGCCUG
rnacentral:tRNA from 1 species